AACGAACGCUGGCGGCAUGCCUAACACAUGCAAGUCGAACGAGACCUUCGGGUCUAGUGGCGCACGGGUGCGUAACGCGUGGGAACCUGCCCUUAGGUUCGGAAUAACUCCCCGAAAGGGGUGCUAAUACCGGAUAAUGUCUUCGGACCAAAGAUUUAUCGCCUUUGGAUGGGCCCGCGUUGGAUUAGCUAGUUGGUAGGGUAAAAGCCUACCAAGGCGACGAUCCAUAGCUGGUCUGAGAGGAUGAUCAGCCACACUGGGACUGAGACACGGCCCAGACCCUAACGGGGGGAAGAAGGGGGGAAAAUGGGAAAAGGGGCGAAAGCCUGAUCCAGCAAGGCCGGGGGGGUGAGGAAGGCCUUGGGGUUGUAAAGCUCUUUUCCCCGGGAUGAUAAUGACAGUACCGGGAGAAUAAGCCCCGGCUAACCCCGU
rnacentral:rRNA from 1 species